rnacentral:rRNA from 1 species
UACGUAGGGUGCGAGCGUUGCCCGGAUUUAUUGGGCGUAAAGGGCGCGCAGGCGGCCACGCACGUCCGUUGUGAAAUCGCCCGGCUCAACUGGGCGGGGUCAGCGGAUACGGCGUGGCUGGAGCAAGCUAGGGGGCAAUGGAAUUCCCGGUGUAGUGGUGGAAUGCGUAGAUAUCGGGAGGAACACCAGUGGCGAAGGCGGUUGCCUGGAGCUUUGCUGACGCUGAGGCGCGAAAGCGUGGGGAGCGAUCCGG